AGCCGUGCGGUGAGCAUAGAGCGAACUAUUCUUUCGCCCCUUACUUAAGAAUACUGUGUGUGUUCAUCGCUUAAAGCAGCAUACGCCUGUUUUGGAGGGUAUUUCUUAAGUGAGUGCC